rnacentral:rRNA from 1 species
AUUGAACGCUGGCGGCGUGCCUAAUACCUGCAAGUCGCACGGAGUGGCGAACGGGGGCGUAAUGUAUAGCUAAGCUGCCCUACACUAGAGGACAACAGUUGGAAACGACUGCUAAUAAUCUAUAGUGUAGGAUGAGGCUAUAUUGUAUCAGCUAGUUGGUGAGGUAAUUGCUUCCCAAGGCUAUGACGCAUAACUGGUCUGAGAGGAUGAUCAGUGACAAGGGAACUGAGCCACCGUCCAGACUCCUACGGGAGGCAGCAGUAGGGUAGAUUGCUAAAUGGGGGAAACCCUGAAGCAGCAACGCCGCGUGGAGGAUGACACUUUUCGGAGCGUAAACGCCUUUUGUUAGGGAAGCGGUACCUAACGAAUAAGCACCGGCUAACGCCGUGCCAGCAGCCGCGGUAAUUC